rnacentral:lncRNA from 1 species
AAGCGGAGGGCUGUGUAUCAAGGAGGCGGUCUCCAGAGGAAGGUGCAGUGCUCUUGGGCGGGGAGUGGACAGUUACCACCUCUGCUUGGAGACACCUUGUCUCCUGAUGCUGGUGCCCUCCUGCAUCUAUCAGGCUGGACUUCUCUGGCUGUCCCAUCCACAUGGCAGGACCUGACCAGCACAUCCCUGAAAUUUACCUGUUACAGCGAUAGCCACACACAAGCUGAGGCUGGUCCUCAACUUCCCCUGCACUGCAAGUUGGCUUUGCUGAAAGAAGGCAUCCUCUAGAAUGGGACGAUUACAGCAGAGGACACCAAGAACUGGGGACGUUGAGAGAGGAGUCCCCAGAUACAAUGCGAAGGCAACAGUUUGCCUACUCAACAGCCUCUGUCCCAGCUUGAAUCAGGUUGUAAUGGAAAGAACCUAGGGAGACUCAAAUUUUCUGGGCAUAGUUGGGAAGGGGUAAGGAGCCAGAGAAAGGCCUCCAGGAAAUCUAGGGCAGACCAGUGAGAACCCAGAAGCACAAGCAGAACAGAAGCAGGAGGAGAACUGACAUGCCUGACACUUGGCCUUCACCGCCUCUGAAGAAGACAGAGAACAAACGAACAAAAAAGAUGAAAGGGUUAAAUGUGGCUCCUAAGCCCUUCUUUUCCAGGAACUGACAUAAAUUCUGUCUGUCUGCCUACAUGGAGUUGUGGUUAGGAACACAUUUUUGAGGGAUUGGUUUGGUUUCAAUGUUUUCCAGUGUCUGGUAAAAACAGAACUAUAAAAGUUGAGUAUUAAAAGACUUUUGUUUGGGUUUUGAAGUAGGAACAUUUUGAAAUACUGAGUAUGUUAUUCUUUCAUAUUAUUAUUUUACUUAAAGGGGUACUCUUUAAGUAAAACCAAAUUUUCAACUGCUAACAUAAACCCUUUAGUCUUCCUUUUUGCUCUAAAGCCAGUUCCAGAUAUUGCAAUUUUAGAGGGAAGGAGGGAGAAAGAAGAGAAGGAGAGAGAAAGAGAGAGAGAGAACACACCACGAAUGAAGUGGAACUUGAGACAGUUGGGCAUGUCCUUCCUGAAUGUUUUAGGUGAUCCCUAGGUCUCUUUUGUUCCUUUGGCUGUGGAGAUUUUUCUGCAGAGUGCAGCCCACUGGAGAGGUUAGCAUUGAUCUGGAGCAGCUAUUUGCA